CCCUUCGAUGUUCGGAGCUGCACGCGCGCUACACUGAUGAAUUCAACGAGCUCCUAACCUAGGCCGAAGGGUCCGGGUAAUCUUUGAAAUUUCAUCGUGAUGGGGAUAGAUUAUUGCAAUUAUUAAUCUUCAACGAGGAAUUCCUAGUAAGCGCGAGUCAUCAGCUCGCGUUGAUUACGUCCCUGCCCUUUGUACACACCGCCCGUCGCUCCUACCGAUUGAAUGGUCCGGUGAAAUGUUCGGAUCGCGGCAAAUCGGACGGGUAACCGUCAGGUUCGCUGCGAGAAGUUCAUUAAACCUUAUCAUUUAGAGGAAGGAGAAGUCGUANCA
rnacentral:rRNA from 1 species